AGCCAUGUAAGAAUGAAAUCCUCCCAUUUGGGACAACAUAGAUGUUCCUUGAGGGCAUUAUGCUAAGUGAAAAAAGUCAAAGACAAAUACCGUAGAAUUUUACUU